rnacentral:tRNA from 1 species
UGUUUUGUGCUUAGUUGGUAAAGCACUUGUCUAGCGAAUAAGGGUCGUGAGUUCAAAUCUCACCUGAGCUG